AACGCAUAUUGCGCCUGAGCCCUACGGUUUGGGCAUGUCUGCCUCAGCGUCGGUUUAAACACUUGCUCCCUGCCCCCUUAACGGGUGGCGGCGGCUGCAGACCUGGCCCUUGGGACGCCCUCCACCCUCACCGGUGCUGGGGCCCAUUGGCUUAUGAACGGAUGGGCUGCCCCAUCCCGCACUUGCGCUGCCUUUGGCAGCCCGCUGCGGUGCCUGGAUCAAUGGUCUGGUGGCGUUACGCCUCAAUCGCCUUGAACCGGUGCCUGUUGGCUGGCUGUCUGGGACGCGUGCUGAGUGACGGGAGCAGCGGGUUGCUGGUAGGUAGGUGGCAUGCCUUAACGGCCCCCCUCCCACCGCACCCCGAUGUUUGGGUAAGCCCGCGUGACGGGGUUCUGGAGCAACCUAACCCGUUGCCCCAGCACCCCCAUGCACCCCCCUUAACCUUCGACCUGAGUUCAGGCAGGGUCACCCGCUGAACUUAA
rnacentral:misc_RNA from 1 species